UCACUGUGUCCUUACAUGACCUUCCUCUGUGUGUGCACAUACCUGGUGACUCUUCCUCUUCUUCUAAGGACACCCAUAAUAUGGGAUUAAGGCCCCACUCAAACGGUCUCAUUUUAACUUAUUCAUCUCUUUAAAGUCUUUAUCUUCAAAUAUGGUUAUAUUCUGGGGCAUUAGGGGUUGAGAGCUCAACAUACAAAUUUGGGGAGACACAAUUCAGGGUUAUAUAAUUAAAUUUUUAUUUUAACGCAGUACUGAUACCAAGUAAAAAUAGUGAGAAGUGAGUGGUCCAGCAAGGCAGACCAUUCAGAGCCAUAGGAGUAUAAUAAUAUAAAUGGUGACAGUCACAGCUAAGAAUUCACUGAGUAUUCACUAGGUGCCAAUUCUGUCAUAAGUACUUUUCACGUUUUUAUUCCUUUAGUCUUCACCUCCUUAUUGUCUGCAUCUUACCACUGAGAAAACAGAGGUCCAGAGAGAUUAAAUAACUUGCCAAAGGAUAUCCAGAGUGUAAGUGGUGACGCCAGCACAUGAACAAAGGUAGUUUAACGCCAAAGACAAUCUUUUACUCACUUUUGAUUUACUAGUUUUAUCCUCAUAAACAAAAUGAUUAUUUUGAUGAAAUGAUGAAGGUGUAUCUAGAGUCAAGUAGACAGAGAGAGAAGAAGCUGACAUCAUUGUUCCCCAUCCUCCAAAUCUUCCACAAAACACAGAAAAAUUAAAGGAGAGGAAAUUCAGUACCAUGGACUUAAGUAAGUACCAUGGUAAUCAAACGUAGACACAAAAAAUAAUGAAGUUGAAUGUUCCAUGGAUCAAACAGCAAGCAUCUCUAGAGUAAUGGGGGAAAAGGAGGAUUAAGAGCAAAACAUAUUAAAAAGGCAAUGACAAUCACUAAAAACAUAUCGAUAUCUUCCUAUGUGCCAAACACUGGGUGAAGUCCUUUCCAUGCACCUCCUAUUUAUUCUUCACAACCACCCUGUGAGAUGGGAAUUAUUCCCCUUGUUUUGCAGGAAAAAUAUAUGCCCAAUCAAGUUGGCUGAGCUAGUAUGAUGUGAACAGAGUAUAAAUGUUAAUAAAAUCUGGCAGGAAGUCCAAUGUUGGAUAUGCAGUGGAGGAUGAACCUGGUGGCCAAGGAUGGGCAGGAAAUCAGGAAACUCUGCAUAAUUCUAGAAACACCUGGCUGUAAAUUCUCAUGCCAUCCUUAUAGUAAACUUCUUUUACGGCUUCUUUUAUGUCACAGAUUCCACAAUUAUUUAUAGGACAAAAGAAUUCCAAGCACUGCAACGUUGAUCUGAGAAGUUUAUGUCUUACUGAAAUGCAGGAGAGAAAUUACUUUGAUUUGGAGAUCUGCAAACAGACCCCACUGAGCUUUCGGCAGAAGAUUCCUCACAAGUAUUUAUACAUGUGAAAAAAUACGUAAGAAUGGAGAAAGACCCAUCUAGAUGAUUAGAGAUUUAUGAUAUGCUGCUCCAUGUGUCAACAAGCUACAUCCUAAUUCCACGGUUUUCCUUUGUUUCUGAAUCAUCUUGUCUAUUAAUAUUUAUUGAUAAAUUUGAAACUUUUUCAAUUACCUCCCCAAAAUAUUGGAUUGAUCAUAGAAUUACAUGUUCCCACAACUUUUUUAAACUGCAAAUUAGUGCCAUAAAUGUAAAUGAGAUUGAUUUUCCAGUGUAUUGUCUUGCAAAUUUGUAGAUAUAACGGAAAACUUCUGUGUUUUUUUCAUAUUUUUUGUUUCCUCACGAGGGAGCCUAUGAAAGUGCCUUAAAAUUUUGUCAGAUUUAUGUAGGAAUCUUUUUCAUUUACUUUUCUUGAGAAUUUUUUGCUGGAAAAAAACAAGAAACAACCAAUCAAAAACCAAAAACAAACAUUAAAAAAACAGAAAAGAUAAAAAAUAAGUUUAUCUUUAUCCAUGCACAAGUACAAACUGAUCCGCUAACUAUCAGCUUUUUAUAAUCCAGUAAAACUCAUGAGCGAUUGACACUCAUGUUGGAAAAGGCCCUGCUGCCUGUGCAGACCCAAGAAAGCAGUUUUGAAAGUUUCUACUCUCAUUGGUCUCUUUAGACCUCUGGUCAAUGACACCUUUUGAAAGUCAACAGGUGGAUUGAAAAUCUUAAGGGGACUGCCCAUUUUUUUUGGGUUGAGUUGUGUCCCCCCAAAAUUCAUACGUUGAAGUCUUAACUCUCAGUAUCUCAGGAUGUGAGAUUACCAUGUUUGGAAAUAGGGUUGUUGCAGAUAUAAUUAGUUAAGAUGAGGUCA